rnacentral:rRNA from 1 species
UACGUAGGGGGCAAGCGUUGUCCGGAUUCAUUGGGCGUAAAGAGCGUGUAGGCGGCCAGGUAGGUCGGUUGUGAAAACUGGAGGCUCAACCUUCAGAGGUCGACCGAAACCAUCUGGCUAGAGUUCUGGAGAGGGUCGUGGAAUUCCCGGUGUAGCGGUGAAAUGCGUAGAGAUCGGGAGGAACACCGGUGGCGAAGGCGGCAUCCUGGACCGAUAUUGACGCUGAGGCGCGAAAGCCAGGGGAGCAAACGGG